AGAGUGAGAUACUGGCACGGAACCAGCUUCACCCCUUCCCUCUCCUACCCGUCCCACAGAGCUUUCAAGCAUGGCCGCCACCAAGUCCGCUGCGUCUGCCGCGAAGAGGAAGGCGGCGAAGAAGGUGUCGCGCAAGAGCCCUGAGUACACGACUCUGCGCAAGAGCUGUGCUCCCGGCGUCAUCGCGAUCAUCCUCGCCGGCCGCUUCCGCGGUCGCCGCGCCGUGAUCCUGAAGCAGCUGCCGCACAACGGCCCGCUGGUCGUGUCCGGCCCGAUGAAGUACAAUGGCGUCCCCAUCCGCCGCAUCGACUCCCGCUACGUGAUCGCCACCAGCACCAAGGUCGACAUCUCCAGCGUUGACACGGCGCCCAUCACCCCCGAGGUGUUCCAGCGCCCCAAGGCAGAGAAGCUGACCAAGAGCGAGGGCGACUUCAUGGGCGACAAGCAGAAGGCUAGGGCGGAGAAGGCUGCCAAGAAGACCUCCAAGGCGGGAAAGAAGACCCCCGUGUCAGACGCGCGCGCCCAGCUGCAGAAGAAGAUCGACGCCGCCCUCAUCGCCGCCAUCAAGAAGGACGCUCAGGGCAAGGAGAAGGCCGGCUACCUGCGCUCCGUCUUCACGGUGAAGCCCGGUGAUGCGCCGCACCGCUGGAACUGGUAAGGCACGCAGUGUGUGUCUCGUUUGCUCCGAAUUCUUUUUCCUUUUUCGUUUUUCGUGUUUCGCGUGCCUCUCUUUUCGGCGCAUGCCAAAAACAGCACAGCAAUCCAGCAAACGAACAAAGAAAAUCAUCGAUGGCGCACGCUACGCCAAGGUUGGGGGUGGAGCGGGGGUGGCGGCAACGCCGUGUGCAGCAGAGCAGACACCCAUCGCAGAAGCCCCCGGUAUCUGCGUGCAUGUGUGUUCGGUGCACGACCGGGUCGUGCUGCUUGUAUGUUUGGGGAGGGAGGGGCUGCGUUGCCUUCCUCACGCCUCCCAUCCCUCCAUCCCUGUCGCCUUCUAUGGGUCGCCGAGGCGCGUGCAGAGACGGACUCUACAGGCCCAGGCGAGAUGGCAACGGGCGCACGCACACACGCACGCGGAGGGAGGAAUGUUUGGGAUGAAUCACACUGCACUGAAACCUCUCUUCUACCCUCAUCAG
rnacentral:misc_RNA from 1 species